rnacentral:piRNA from 1 species
UAAGAUGAGUUCUGGUGGUUGCUGUAGU